rnacentral:lncRNA from 1 species
UCCAACUUACUUCAACAUGACAGAGCGGAGAGGGUAUGCAGUACAUUCACAGGAUAAUUGACUGCAACAGGAAAUAAACACUCUAAGUCUCCCUUCAUAUCAAAUAUAAUUCAAAAGUUAAGUGACUACUGAUGUACCCUUACAAAAGUACCUUAACAAAGAAAAUCUACCUGUUCCCUUAAAAGAUAAUUAUAACAAAGCCUCUGACAGGAGACAAAGCUUCUUGUCAUGCCUUCCUUGCCAGAAGUGACAUCUAAGGUUGCAUCAAGAGACCUGAUCAGUGAAAAAUAUAGAACAAAUAAUAGGAAGCAGUCCCUGAGGAAGGAAUCAUAUAACUAAACCUUAGUGAUUAUAUCAUUCUUUUCAUAAGCCAUGUCACAAGUCUCAAAUGUCUGGUAAAUAAAUGUUAACUUCUAAAUUUCA